rnacentral:rRNA from 1 species
AGUGAACGCUGGCGGUAGGCCUAACACAUGCAAGUCGAACGGCAGCACAGUAAGAGCUUGCUCUUACGGGUGGCGAGUGGCGGACGGGUGAGGAAUACAUCGGAAUCUACUUUUUCGUGGGGGAUAACGUAGGGAAACUUACGCUAAUACCGCAUACGACCUACGGGUGAAAGCAGGGGAUCUUCGGACCUUGCGCGAUUGAAUGAGCCGAUGUCGGAUUAGCUAGUCGGCGGGGUAAAGGCCCACCAAGGUGACGAUCCGUAGCUGGUCUGAGAGGAUGAUCAGCCACACUGGAACUGAGACACGGUCCAGACUCCUACGGGAGGCAGCAGCGGGGAAUAUUGGACAAUGGGCGCAAGCCUGAUCCAGCCAUACCGCGUGGGUGAAGAAGGCCUUCGGGUUGUAAAGCCCUUUUGUUGGGAAAGAAAAGCAGCAGGUUAAUACCCCGCUGUUCUGACGGUACCCAAAGAAUAAGCACCGGCUAACUUCGUG